rnacentral:lncRNA from 1 species
GGCCUCCAUCCCUGCUGCUGUGGCCGCUUCCGCCUGGGUCCCUGGGGGUGGUCCCAGGAAUGGCAGGAAGAGGCUGAUGUUGACAUGUCCUGUUUACGAGAGCCCAAGAGGGCUGUAGAGGACACUGCCUGGAUCGGCGUAGCCUUUCUGCAGGAGACAGCACCCUCUCUGUCCCUCUCCCCAGACCUCUUUGUCCCCAAGCUUCCUGUCUUGAUUUUGCUGAGUCCAGCCCACUGGCUAACCCCUUAGAUGCUACCAGUUGUAAACCAAGCUCCACACAGACGGGCACCUUGGUUCUGCCCACCAGGAGCCGCCCUGCCUGCAUACAUGCACCUAAUCUGCCUCUGCCUGUGGGCAGGCAGCUCUGCAUGCAGUCCAGUGGGUCCAGGGAGCUGCAGCCCCCCGGUCAUUCAACCCGCUUCAGACACACCCAGGCCAGGCUCCAAUUCGAACAUCUCGGGACCGAAUGCUGUGUGCACCGGCUUCUCACCGGGCCCUCGGGUCCCAUGGCCACUCGGUAAAUGGGGUUGCCCCUGCCCCAGGCUCAGCUGCAAGCCUGGAGCUACUUUCUAAGUAGAGACCUGGUUUUGACAGAGGGAGAGAUGGCCUUGCCCCCAGAGGCUGGGGGUCUGGGCUGGAGGCGUUUGCUAGUGUCCGCCCCACCUGCUUCUUCCAGGGGUCUGUGGGCCAGCCCCCCAAGGGGCGAGUGGCCUGCGUCAGGCCUGGCCAUCCUUGCCUCUGGCCUGGGAGAUGGGUCAGAACAGCCUCCACACCCAGGGCCCCCAAGCACUGUCCCCCCUGAAGUAGGUUCCACAGCUGGACGACUUGCCUUGCUUGACGGAGGCCGUCCUAGCACUGCUGGGACCAUCGGAGUCGGCUUCCCUGAAGACUCCUAAGCUUCGAAGGGUCUGCCUCCCACCCCGUGGAAAGCAGGGCUCUACCAAGGCAUCCAGGGUGCGUGUCUUUCUGGGCCACCCGCAUCUAACUGGCACAAGGUCAGCAAGGAGAUCACGAUUCCCAGACACCCUGGAGGGUGGGCGAGUCGGUGCCAUCUCGGCCAAGCCUGAAGGCGUGCUGCUGUGCCCGUCCCGUGGGGGAGACGGCUGGUCCUCCCUGCUGGGCAUAGAAAGGCAUUUGCGAGGUUACCUGCGUAUCAGCGCCGGGCCCUGCGAUUUCCCCCAGGAAAGACCCCGCAUCCAGACCUCCGCUGACUGGCGUUGCCAAGGUUGUGUUGGAUCGUUUGUCAUGCAAUACCCAGCCGGCAAGUUACAUAGAGGACAGAGACGGGGUCCCCUCCUCCCAGGUUUCUGAUGUUGGACCUCAUCUGUGCAGUUGCUCCGGAAACUGGUGGCGUUUUUGGUUUAGCAGGGGGACAGGCCUGGGGCUCCCACGAUGGCCUCCCCACACCAGUCGGGCGGCCCAUGGGGCUGCUGCGGGCGAAGGCUGGAUGUGCCCUGGGAUCCACUUCCUGGGGCUCAGGCUGGCCCAGCAGACCGUCCAGCAGCCGUGUCCGCCACGUCUGCCUGCUUUGUGCAGAAGUGAGGUGUCCUGUGCCGCAAUCGGCCAGGCCUGGGGCGCCCUCUUCCUGGAACGCUGUCUGCCAGGCCCACACGCACAUGUGGACAGCUCUGCAUGGUGGCAGGGGUUCCCCAGAGAGGGGACCCCGCAGUGUUGGUGUCGCAGCCCUCUGUCCCCACUUCGCUUCCUUGCAAAUCCUGAGCAAACAAGGGCCUCAGUCUCAGCAGGGUCCAGGCGGCCCUGUGGAUACGGGAGGUGAGUCAGGAGGCCCUGACUCCCUGUGCCUGGCUCUCUGUUCUGCCUCCUCCCUCUCAAGGCAGAAGGAUGGAUGCGGUCCUUAGAAGCCCUGCUGUUGCCAUAGCAACCAGACCCUUCCAACCACCCAUGCGGGGCCCAACUCUUGGCCACCCCGGGAACGCGAGUAAACAUGGGGCCAUCUCCCACCCACAAGGCCAGCCCAGAGUCACCUGAUGCCAGAGCCCCAUGUUCGUGUCCUGGGGCCACCCCUCAUGCUGAUGGCCCCACCGGGCAGGGCCCUGGCUGGAGGCCACGCACGCCCAGUGAAGAGCCUCCGUACAGGGCUGGUUGAAGGAGUGGGCCAGGCAGCAGAACUUUCAAGAGGCUCCUGUAGGGGCGGCUGUUACCCUCCCAGGCUGCCCCACAGCCUGCGACUUCUGACCCUGUCCUCAGAGGCCUUCCAGGUGCACGGAGGCAAAGCCCGAGUGGCCACCACGGGUGGAGGCUCCAGACGCCACCACAGCCCUGGGCCUGAGAGCACAGGGAGGAGGGGGCAGUGGGUCCCCCGUGGGCAGAGAAGGAUGGAGUGGAGCCAGGGGCGUGAGGGGCUGCAGGGGAGGAGGGCCGUCCUGGCCUGGUGCCCUUGUCCACCGCCCAGAGCUGGCACUGGGGAGCAGCGGGGAAUGUGGAUGGAGUCCAGCCUCUGGCAGGAUGGCACCUCGGAGUCACACCCCACCUGCCUGGGCAUCACCAAGCAGGUGACCAGGGUAGCCGAGCAUCCUGGCACCAGAUGAGAAAUCCCCCUGCAGCCUCAUGGUCCAGGGGCAGUCUGUAGGAUGCAACAAGUGGCCGAAGCCCAUCCCCGGCCUUCCGUGCCCAGUAGUGCCCUUCCCCCAGGGCCCUGCCGCAGGACAGUGAUCCCUCCAGGGGCUGGCACAGGUGCCCUGGGGGAGGGGGUGUGGACACCAGCACUGACCAGCUCCCCCAGACCACCGUGCUAGGGACAUCCAGAAACUGGAGAGGGAACACCGGGAACCAAUGACAGCCACAGGCUGGCCUCUCCAUCGGGGAGGCUUGUGCACCCAGUGGACCUGGCCAGAUGGCCUGGCAUGACCAGCGUCCUGCUCUGGCUUUGGGCAGGGAUCUGCAUCGGGGUUCAGGGGUGCACGUCUGCGAGGGUUGGGGGCCCCAGUCACGGCAAGUGUGCUGCUCAGCCCUGGAGCUGGCCAGGCCCACUUGGUCUGCUGUCCUGCCCAGUGGCCCUGUCCAGGAGCACUGGCCACAUCCCAUAGUCGCCCACUGUGAGCCCCUGUAGGGACAGCUGGCUCUUUGAGGGGGGCUCCGGGCCAAACCCUAGACCAGCGACUGCCCUUCCAAGCUUACCGCUGGGAGGAGUACACCCUACAGUGACUGUGCCCGGGAGCCACCAGCAGCGCCCCCAGCGCUCCUCCCACAGUGGUCCUGGUGCAGGGGCGGGAGGGGCCCAGCCCCGGGCUGGGAUGAGGGGCGGCUCCAGUGAGGUUCUCAGGUUGAACUAGGAGAGAAGAUGAAACCCCGAAGCAGUCUUUUGUGCCUUACAAAGUCUAAAAUGAAUUGGGUUUUGAUGAUUGUUGGACACCUAUAAAUGUAAUAAAAUUCAUUAAG